CGCGAGGAUGGGCCAAGGGCGAAACUGGUAACUGGGGCUAAGUCGUAACAAGGUAGCCGUACCGGAAGGUGUGGCUGGAACACCUCCUUU
rnacentral:rRNA from 1 species